rnacentral:misc_RNA from 1 species
GAUGAAGAACGUAGCGAAAUGCUAUAAGUAAUGUGAAUUGCAGAAUUCAGUGAAUCAUCGAAUCUUUGAACGCACCUUGCGCUCCUUGGUAUUCCUCGGAGCAUGCCUGUUUGAGUAUCAUGAAACUCUCAAAGGAAAUCUUUUGUUAAUUCAAUUGGUUUGCUUUGGACUUGGAGGUUUUUUUUGCAGAUUAAUUUCUGCUCCUCUUAAAUAUAUUAGCUGGAUCUCAGUAUAUGCUCGGUUCCACUCGGCCUGAUAAGUAUCACUCGCUGAGGACACUGGUAAAAAAGGUGGCCGGGAAAUACAGAUGAACCGCUUCAAACAGUCCAUUGACUUGGACAAUAUAAGUUUUAAGAUCUGAUCUCAAAUCAGGUAGGACUACCCGCUGAACUUAAGCAUAUCAAUAAGCGGAGGA